rnacentral:rRNA from 1 species
CUGAGUGGCGGACGGGUGAGUAACGCGUGGGUAACCUGCCUCAUACAGGGGGAUAACAGUUAGAAAUGACUGCUAAUACCGCAUAAGACCACAGCACCGCAUGGUGCAGGGGUAAAAACUCCGGUGGUAUGAGAUGGACCCGCGUCUGAUUAGGUAGUUGGUGGGGUAACGGCCUACCAAGCCGACGAUCAGUAGCCGACCUGAGAGGGUAACCGGCCACAUUGGGACUGAGACACGGCCCAA